rnacentral:lncRNA from 10 species
CUCUCAGGUUUGAUAUUUGCAUAUUUUUCUAGCCUGUCUCAAAGGGCCCCACCUAGUGACUGGGUUUUCUUCUGCCUGUCCAUCUGUGUACUGUAUGUAAUGUCUGUCAAAAGAGUUCUAAUUAAUUUUGCCUAAAGAAAGACAAGUUCUUGGAUCAAAUAUUUUUUAAAGGGAUUAUAAAAUCUGUGGUAGCUUUCAGUUUAUGUGACUUUAAUCUUUGAGAAAUAAAAACAGCCUUAAAGAUUAUUGGUAAAAUGCAAGUCAGAUGCAAGGUUUUCUAAGUGUUUUAAGGUUCCAAACUGCUUUAUGGGUUUUCUGAACUAUUUCACUUGCUGGCUUUAGAGUUGGUAAGGCCUAGGGACAUAUGGAACUAACCAGAAUCUUAACUAAGAAGGCAAACCUUGGCUGCAGUUAAUGCACAAUUAAAGCAACUUACCAAGUUUUACCUUAAAGUCAACAAUUGGUAGAAGUUACUAUUAUAACAUGUAAUUGAAACUACUGAAAAUAAAUUUAAAUGCAAAAGGUAUAAAAACAAUAAAAUGUGUUUUUAUGUAGAAGGUUAUAAGAAGGCAUGGAAAUGUAAACUUUUGCCCAGGGUUAAAGGAUUGUAUUCAGUUAGAUAGGGAAAGCUAAAGGUUCAAACAAGUGGUGGAAAAGCUGUGGAAAUUAAUCUUGCAGAAUAUGUUCUCUGUGUAAACAUAUUAAUUAAAUUCAAAAGGGUUAUAAAAGGUUUUUGCUUGUUUAAAAUUUCUGAAUCAUCAUUUUGGCAAAACAAAUUAUUUAUUAUUAGAAUCUGGAAUUCUAUUUCAUAAUAUCAAGUGUCUUAAACCUCAAACAUUUAAUAGCAUUCCCCAAAUCAAACUUCCAUUUUAAAAUUGUCUUCCCUGGCAGCUGGCUUUUCAAAUACUUCAGAGUGCCCCUGAAGUGUCCAGAAAAAAUAGGUAAACAGGAUUAUUUGACAUGUUUAGGUACAUGGGAUUGCCAAAAUGAUGCUCAAUCUUCUUUAGGUUUUUGGUGAAUAAUGCUAAUAUAUGUACCAAAUUGUAUGGGAUAUCUAAAAUUCUAAUGUCUAAGUAUAUGCUACCAAUCAUAAAUAAGGUUUUUAUGUUAAGUUACUGCAAACCACGGAGAUAACCAAACUUCUUUGUCAAUUGUGUUUCUAAGUAUAACUAACCUUGACAUUUUGCUAUUCACAGACAAUUGUUGUCUUGCUUUAAUCCUUUUCAAAAGACGGUUUAUAAGAGCUAUAGAACUUUAACAGGUGCUCUCAAAUGCAGACUUCUGAUAACUUUAGAGAUCGUAACAUUAGAAUAAAGGAAAAUGUACAGAAUUCAUAAAGAGCUGAAAUGCUUAUGAAUAUAAUGCAUAACAAGAGUUGACUAAAUGGAUUGCACUCAGAAAGCUGAAGCAACCUUUUUGACUUCUGCUUGGAAUAUUGCUGAUCCAUGUUUUGUUUUUCAGAGUCAAGGAAACUUAUUUUAAACUAUCUACAGCCUUUAAUAAUUAAGUACUCCUGUGAUCAAAAUUUGGAGCACAUUUGUUUCUCUCUGCCUAGUUCCUCUAGAAUUUGUAAACUAUCUGCCAUCAAACUCCAAACAAUCAUGCAACCAGAGCCUCUAAUGAUGGCCCCUUCUGCCAGGAACCUUUAAAUUUCCUCUGAGGGAGCUCUGACUGUUGUUUCUCAACAACUGCACCCCCUGUCAGCAGGAAGCAGUUAAGAUCAUCUUCCUCCUUACCUUGAAUCUACCAGCGGUUACAUGUACUUCUUUAGAGGGGUGAAUGAGAGCCAGGUGGGAGGGGGUCCCUGGAGAAAUUCCAGUCAGUCUGCCCAUUGAGGUGGAGCCUUGGGAAGUUCAUGCCCUUUGCAGUGGGGAGGGGCCUGGCCCCACCUCUUCCUAUGUGGAACCCAGUAUUCAAAUAGCAGCAGGAAGCUCUCUAGCAGGGGACUCUGAAACAGGAGGAUGCCUGUCCCCCCUCCUCCUUUUUUUUCCCUUUUCACCCAAUAAAACCUUGCUUUACUCACCCUUUAAACCAUCUUUGAGCCUAAAUUUUCAUGUCUAUAGGAUAGACAAGAACCCUGUCUUUAGCUAAACUAAGGAAAACUCCUGCAACAAUAUUUACUCAUAACAUUACAACUGUCCUACGUACAACUGGAAAUAUAUCAGUUCCCAACCCAAAU